UAACUGAAGAGUUUGAUCAUGGCUCAGAUUGAACGCUGGCGGCAGGCUUAACACAUGCAAGUCGAGCGGGGGAAGGUAGCUUGCUACUGGACCUAGCGGCGGACGGGUGAGUAAUGCUUAGGAAUCUGCCUAUUAGUGGGGGACAACAUCUCGAAAGGGAUGCUAAUACCGCAUACGUCCUACGGGAGAAAGCAGGGGAUCUUCGG
rnacentral:rRNA from 1 species